UGCUGCAGACGUUACAGUUCCUCUGAGACGAGCAGGCACAGCAGUGGUUUAUAUGCCCUGGUGACUGACUGCCAGGCUGAGGUUGUAAGGCAAGGCAACUUUAUUUCUAUAGCACAUUUCAGC